AACCCUGAGAGAUGAUCAGGUAGAUAGGAUGGAAGUGGAAGUGCAGUGAUGCAUGGAGCGGACCAUUACUAAUCGGUCGAGGACUUAACCAAA
rnacentral:rRNA from 1 species